rnacentral:rRNA from 1 species
CCUACGGGAGGCAGCAGUGAGGAAUAUUGGUCAAUGGACGAGAGUCUGAACCAGUCAAGUAGCGUGAAGGAUGACUGCCCUAUGGGUUGUAAACUUCUUUUAUAUGGGAAUAAAAUGUUCCACGUGUGGGAUUUUGUAUGUACCAUAUGAAUAAGGAUCGGCUAACUCCGUUCCAGCAGCCGCGGUAAUACGGAGGAUCCGAGCGUUAUCCGGAUUUAUUGGGUUUAAAGGGAGCGUAGGUGGAUUGUUAAGUCAGUUGUGAAAGUUUGCGGCUCAACCGUAAAAUUGCAGUUGAAACUGGCAGUCUUGAGUACAGUAGAGGUGGGCGGAAUUCGUGGUGUAGCGGUGAAAUGCUUAGAUAUCACGAAGAACUCCGAUUGCGAAGGCAGUUCACUGGACUGCAACUGACACUGAGGCUCGAAAGUGUGGGUAUCAAACAGGAUUAGAUACCCCGGUAGUC